ACGGUCGCAGGUUCGAAUCCUGCCUCGGGCAUGGGUGUGUGUGAUGUCCUUAGGUUAGUUAGGUUUAAAUAGUUCUAAGUUCUAGGGGACUUAUGACCUAAGAUGUUGAGUCCCAUAGUGCUCAGAGCCAUUUGAACCAUUUUUUUUUUUUUUUUUUUUGGCCACCCAGGAAAAAAGAAAUGUUGCAACCUGUCAGAGAUAAUCUUGGCCUUACAGGGCCAGGAAUUUACAGUAUUUCUUGCGAGUGUGACAAAAGUUAUGUGGGCCAGUCUGUAUAGACUUUUGCUGAUCAUGUGUCGAAAAUCAGUGUCACCUUAAUCACAGGUAUUUGGGAAAAUCAGUGGCAGCUGAGCACAACAAGUUAAACAAACAACAGAUUUUAUAUCUAAAAACAAAGAUGACGUAACUUACCAAACGAAAGUGUUGGCAUGUUGAUAGACACACAAACAAACACAAAGACACACAAAAAAUUCAAGCGUUCGCAACCAACGGUUGCUUCAUCAGGAAAGAGGGAAGGAGAGGAAAAGACGAAAGGAUGUGGGUUUUAAGACAUUUGUGUGUCUGUAUGCAUUCGGAUGGAUAUGUGCAUGUGUGUGAGUGUAUACCUAUCCUUUUUUCCCCCUAAGGUAAGCCUUUCCGCUCCCAGGAUUUGAAUGACUCCUUACCCUCUUCCUUAAAACCCACAUCCUUUCGGCUUUCCCUCUCCUUCCCUCUUUUCGGACGAAGCAACCAUUGGUUGUGAAAGCUUGAAUUUUGUGUGUGUCUUUGUGUUUGUUUGUGCGUCUAUCAAUAUGCCAAAGGUUUUGUUUUUUAAGUUACAUCAUCUUUGUUUUUAGAUAUAUUUUCCCACGUGGAAUGUUUCCCUCUAUUAUAAACAACAGAUUUUGUUUGAAAAAAUGAGAAUAAUUGCUCAUGCAUCAAACUACUGGAACUCUGUGACCAGGACAGCAGUUGAAAUUACGCUAUGUGAAAACAGCUUCAACAGAGAUACCAUUUAUGCACUUAGCAAUGCUUGGAAGCAUCUGCUUUAUAAAGAAAGAGAACACAGAAGAAGAACUAUUACAGUUUACCACCUAAUGUGAGGGAUGGCACGACAAGCAAUGCUUGACCGUGUGCACGAACAAAACCUUUGGAUAUAGAGGGUGCCACCUCAGUAUGCACCAUUUCCGUGUUGUCAUAAUGACUUAAUCCAGCCAAUCUGGGUAUAGAAAUGGGAGCUGUGCAAGUUUCACAAAAGUCAGAUUUAGCUCCUGACAACAUUGAUAGAGGCAAUCUUCAAAAGCUUGGGAUUUUAACUGGAUUUGACAUGACAAGUAAGCCAAGAAGUUUUUGGUACAGUUAUUUGUUACUAUUGUUAUUAUAUUUACUUCCAUUAUGAUGUAAAUAAGAGUUAUUUUGUAUAAUCUUAUUGUAGAUAAGUUUUUUAAAUAUAUCAUUUUUAACUAUGGCCCUUUAAUUUUUUCAACUGUUGCUUACAGUACUGUGUUAAUGAACUUCAUAUUUUUAUGCAAAACUGCCUUUUUCAACAUGGUUAGAAUCAAUGCUUGCCUGUUUUAAACAUGAAAUAAAAUUUAUCAUGAACUGACAAUGAAUAACAAUAAAAAGUGCAAGUUGUCUUUCA